CAAUAGCGUAUAUUAAAGUUGUUGCGGUUAAAAAGCUCGUAGUUGGAUUUCUGCUGAGAACGACCGGUCCGCCCUUUGGGUGUGUAUCUGGCUCUUUCUUGGCAUCUUCUUGGUGAACGUUGCUGCACUUGACUGUGUGGAGCGCUACCCAGGACUUUUACUUUGAGGAAAUUAGAGUGUUUCAAGCAGGCAUACGCCUUGAAUACAUUAGCAUGGAAUAAUAAGAUAGGACCUCGGUUCUAUUUUGUUGGUUUCUAGAGCUGAGGUAAUGAUUAAUAGGGAUAGUUGGGGGCAUUCGUAUUUAACUGUCAGAGGUGAAAUUCUUGGAUUUGUUAAAGACGGACUACUGCGAANGNAUUUGCNAAGGAUUUUUNCAUUG
rnacentral:rRNA from 1 species